rnacentral:rRNA from 1 species
GUGGACGCCAGUCUGCAUGGAGCCGACCUUGAAAUACCACCCUUUAAUGUUUGAUGUUCUAACGUGGACCCGUAAUCCGGGUUGCGGACAGUGUCUGGUGGGUAGUUUGACUGGGGCGGUCUCCUCCUAAAGAGUAACGGAGGAGCACGAAGGUUGGCUAAUCCUGGUCGGACAUCAGGAGGUUAGUGCAAUGGCAUAAGCCAGCUUGACUGCGAGCGUGACGGCGCGAGCAGGUGCGAAAGCAGGUCAUAGUGAUCCGGUGGUUCUGAAUGGAAGGGCCAUCGCUCAACGGAUAAAAGGUACUCCGGGGAUAACAGGCUGAUACCGCCCAAGAGUUCAUAUCGACGGCGGUGUUUGGCACCUCGAUGUCGGCUCAUCACAUCCUGGGGCUGAAGUAGGUCCCAAGGGUAUGGCUGUUCGCCAUUUAAAGUGGUACGCGAGCUGGGUUUAGAACGUCGUGAGACAGUUCGGUCCCUAUCUGCCGUGGGCGCUGGAGAACUGAGGGGGGCUGCUCCUAGUACGAGAGGACCGGAGUGGACGCAUCACUGGUGUUCGGGUUGUCAUGCCAAUGGCACUGCCCGGUAGCUAAAUGCGGAAGAGAUAAGUGCUGAAAGCAUCUAAGCACGAAACUUGCCCCGAGAUGAGUUCUCCCUGAGACUUUAGGUCUCCUGAAGGAACGUUGAAGA